rnacentral:rRNA from 1 species
UACGAGGGGGGCGAGCGUUGUUCGGAAUUAUUGGGCGUAAAGGGUGCGUAGGCGGUUUGGUAAGUCUGAUGGGAAAUCUAUGGGCUCAACUCAUAGUCUGCAUCGGAAACUGCCGGGCUUGAGUAUGGGAGAGGUGAGUGGAAUUCCUGGUGUAGCGGUGAAAUGCGUAGAUAUCAGGAGGAACACCUGUGGCGAAAGCGGCUCACUGGACCAUAACUGACGCUGAUGCACGAAAGCUAGGGGAGCAAACAGG